rnacentral:tRNA from 1 species
AAGAAUAUAGUUUAAAAUUAAAACAUUUUGUUUACAUCAAAAAAUUCUUAUAAAAAAGUAUUCUUA